ACUUCCUCCGGGUUAAGGAUGUCCCGAGGAUCCAAUUACAAAGCUGACCAAUAGUAAAGAACGGGGGGAGAAUAUUUGGGGGCGUGUUCUGGGAUUCCAAGCUCCGGUCGCUCGGCAUUCUUGGAGAAACAGAGAAGGCGCACCUCGCUGAUUUCGGCGAUCUCUAGUUUCCCCUUGUUGCCGAGGCAGCUCUGGGCGAGCGUGAUCUGGACUGGGAGACCCUGGAGACAGGACGGGCAGACGCGACGCAGCGGAGUCAGUCGGGUAACUCUUGUGCACAAGACCCAGGUAAGAAAAAGGUCUUAAAUUAGUAUUAUCUGGGUGACUGGGGUAGGCAGCGGGUUUUGUUUUGUUGUCAGUCUUUGCCAUGAGCGAGGCGCACUAAGACACGGCGGGUUGGUCAGGUAACUCUUAUGGACUUAAGACCCACAUUCGCGGGCGGCUGGGAUAUGCAGCAGUACUUGCUGUUUCGCCGAGGUUCUAGGUGCGUUGAAACGUGGUGGGUUGGUUGGCAUUGGCGGACGGCUGGGAUUUGCAGCAUUACUUGCUGUUUCGCCGCGGUACGAAGGGCACUAAGACGUGGUGGUUCGGUCGGGUUACCCUCGUGUACAUAAGACCCGGGUAAAGGUAAAUUUCGGGCGACCUAGAUUGACAACGCAUUUUGCUGUCUGGUAUUGCCGCGGGACGGGGCGCGCAUUCGACCAGGUAACUUUUGUGCACAGGCCAAGGUAUGAAAAUUGACCUUUAAGUAUUACCUUGGUGAUCGGUUCCGUACGAGAAGUACGGGGGAAUUGGCAACUUAAAAAAAUAGAGAAUAAAGGUCUUUAAUUGGCUAGAUUAAUCUAACAAGUAAGGUGUCUAACUGAUUCGAUCACCCAGCCUUAGACCGGUUAUUAAGAAGAGAAACCCCCCCGCGGAGAUUAGGACCCUGAAGUGGGUGUGGAAGAAGGUAACACCGAACUUCAGAGAGGUUAACUGAAAUUAUAUAGAGAAAACGGCCGAGUAUUAAAAUGGGAAAUAAGAAUAACAAUUUAGAUGUAGAAGGGGACAUGAGAGGGACGUCCGAGGACCACAUCCCAACGGACAGUCCUUUAGGAAAAAUGUUAAGAGAUUGGAAGUACAAUCCUCGGACGCGAGGAGAGGAUAAAAAAACAAAUGAGAAAAUGUCAAUGAAAAACAGCCUUACAGUCAGGAGGAAUCAGAUCAUGCUUCGUGUGAGAAGGGCCAGUAGCUGAAGGGCCACUGAGGGUGCACUUCGUAACUAACUUAUGGCCAGACGCCUAGAAAAAUAUUCAA